rnacentral:tmRNA from 1 species
GGGGGCGUAACGGUCUCGACGUGGUAUUUUGUGCUUUGAGAGCAUGCCGAGUUUUGUAUGGGGGCUCGUUAAAAAACAUUCAAAAAACAAUAAAUGCAAACGAUAUGUUUGUUACUAAUAAUACAGCAAGCUAUUAUAAUGGCGCUGCUGUAUGUGCCUAAUUCGUUAGGGUUAGUCUAGAGGAUUGAGCGUGUCUAUCAGUAAGAUCCACUUGUAUUAAAAAGAUAGAACCUUUGCGUAAGAUUUUUUAGUUGGGUAGCGCAAUUGUAUCACUAAACUGGCUUUUACAUUUAACUAUGCCCCAGAGGAGAUGUAAGAGUACAAUCAGGGGAGAAGCAUGUGGUGCUUAAAGUUCCGAGUGUUGCGGACAUGGGUUCGACUCCCAUCGCCUCCACCA